GGUUGCGAUCAUACCAGCACUAAUGCACCGGAUCCCAUCAGAACUCCGCAGUUAAGCGUGCUUGAGCGAGAGUAGUACUAGGAUGGGUGACCCCCUGGAAGUCCUCGUGUUGCAACCCC
rnacentral:rRNA from 1 species